rnacentral:rRNA from 1 species
CAGCAGCCGCGGGAAUACAGAGGAUGCAAGCGUUAUCCGGAAUGAUUGGGCGUAAAGGGCUCGCAGGCGGUUGUGUAAGACAGGUGUGAAAUCCCCGGGCUUAACCUGGGAACUGCGCUUGUGACUGCACAGCUAGCGUAUGGCAGAGGGGGGUGGAAUUCCACGUGUAGCAGUGAAAUGCGUAGAGAUGUGGAGGAACACCGAUGGCGAAGGCAGCCCCCUGGGCCAAUACUGACGCUCAUGCACGAAAGCGUGGGGAGCAAACAGGAUUAGAUACCCCUGUAGUCCCUGUCUCUUAUAA